CCCAAGAUGAGAAGUAAGAAUUAAACCCUGGAUUUAGGGAUGACUUUGAACUGCAAGCAUGCUCACCACAUGGUAUCCUGUCCAUGAGUCUCAGUUCUUUGGUGGCACCAGUUUUUGAAACUAUGGGGUUCUUUCCUCCAGUGACUGCCUUGCUGGACACUGCUCAAUUCCAACUGCCCUACCACCAGCCACUUGCCAGUUUAACAGCUUCAAGACCCAGGUCAUCAUGUCAUUGUUUAGCAUGUCAGAAAAACAUACUAAGCAGCUUCACUUUUUUGUUUUUGUUUUCUUUUAUUUUGUUUGGAGACAGGGUCUUGCUCUGUCACCCAGACUGAAGUGCUAUGGCAUGGACAUGGCUCACUGCAGGCUUGACCUCCCUGGCUCAAUGUAUCCGCCUACCUCAGCCUCCCAAGCAGCUGGAACUCAAGCAAUUCUUCCACUGUAGCCUCCUGAGGUGGCAGGAUUACAGCAUAAGCCACCAUGCCUGGCCUCAGUCACACUUUGGAAAAGAAGACUAUGGAUCUACAUGUUCAUUUUGUGGUCGAAUUAUAACCAACACGCCACUCUAUCUGCCUCCACUCUGCUUUUUCCAUGCCUGUACUUAAAUGCUUCUCAGAAUUUUUAAUGUACUUCCCUGCCUUUUGCCAUAGAUUUUAUACUCACUGAGAACCAAUGUUCUGCCAUAUUCAUCUCUUUAUCUUUCACACUCACACCUAGUGCCUUACAAGUUGCUUUUAGCCAAAGUCACAGGAAACCUGACUCACAUGGAUGUCAAGGGUACUUAUUACCUUGUAUAAGAAGAAGUCCUAGGUUAUGGUGCCUCCAGGAUUGGUUAGCGUAGCUCCUCAGUGGCAUCUCCAAGGGCUCAGUAUGGCUCUGUCUUUUUCCUCUGCCAUCCUCAGCAUGCAGGCUCCUGUUAGAAAUGCUUCUUCCCCAGUGCUGUAAAGAAAUAGCACUUGAACAUAAAUUUUAACUACCUCAGCAAGGCCAUUUUUACUUUCUGCAGAAAGGGUACACUCGCCAGCAGUUUUGCCACAAGAGUACACUGAACAAAGGAGACAGGGUCAUUUAUAACUUUACGCGUCCACGCUACUGCUGUGUCCGGUGUCUGUUGUCUGGAAGGGGACCUCACAUUCUGUAUUUG
rnacentral:lncRNA from 10 species